CCUACGGGAGGCAGCAGUGGGGAAUCUUGGACAAUGGGCGAAAGCCUGAUCCAGCCAUGCCGCGUGUGUGAAGAAGGCCUUCGGGUUGUAAAGCACUUUCAGUGGGGAAGAAAGCCUUGGGGCUAAUACCCUCGAGGAAGGACAUCACCCACAGAAGAAGCACCGGCUAACUCCGUGCCAGCAGCCGCGGUAAUACGGAGGGUGCGAGCGUUAAUCGGAAUUACUGGGCGUAAAGCGCGCGUAGGCGGUCUGAUAAGCCGGUUGUGAAAGCCCCGGGCUCAACCUGGGAACGGCAUCCGGAACUGUCAGGCUAGAGUGCAGGAGAGGAAGGUAGAAUUCCCGGUGUAGCGGUGAAAUGCGUAGAGAUCGGGAGGAAUACCAGUGGCGAAGGCGGCCUUCUGGACUGACACUGACGCUGAGGUGCGAAAGCGUGGGUAGCAAACAGGAUUAGAUACCCCGGUAGUC
rnacentral:rRNA from 1 species